rnacentral:lncRNA from 1 species
UUGGGUGUGUUCUUGACAGUCAUGGUUUCAGAGGGUUCUUCUAUCCAAGAGGAAGUCAGUCCUCUGAAGACCAAGUUUGCGUACUGGACAAUUUGAGCUGACAGCAGCUGCCAACUCAUGCUCGGCUCUUCACGGUGGACUGUCUCUUGUGCAGGUCAGCUUGUCCUGGCAGAUGCUAUCCAUGGCAGUGCUUCCCUGCCUGGGCCUGGGGAGAGGCCCUCCUGGGAGAUUCCUCUUCUGGCUGAGCCUGUACCUGGGCCUGUGUGCAGAAAAACCACCUACAAGGACUCCUCAAACUCACAAUAAACAUAGACUGUUCUCAUAGGACUCAGACUCUCUUGGACAGAAAUCUUCGUCCCCGUGAAAUGCUGCCAUGUCCCGAGAGACAAGGUGGGUGAGUUCUCUAACCUGAUGAUGUGAAGUUGGUUUCCUCUGAACAUCUGGUACAAGGGGACCAUCUGGGCCGGCCCCCAAAGCCACGUUGUUAUUUAUGCCCGUGGACUUAGGGCCACAGGAAUCAAUGAUUAUGAGGCAAACCCUGACAAGAUCAUGUUUCAGGGUGUCUCCCCUGUGAUAGAAAGAACAUGACCCCAUGUUCUUUCCAUGCCUGUUGGAACAAGAGAGUACACGUUUCUGCCACCCAGGCUCUGGCUGUGCAUGUGGUCUUGCUAGCUGAGAACUAUGCUUGACACCGGAGAUAAAGCACUGCAGGGGAAGUAUCGUGUCUUCUGGGAUCCUAGAGCAGAUUCAAGGGAAAAGAUCAUGAAGUCCUGUAUUACAAAGUCUCCAGUUCCAUUUCAAAGAACCUCCUCCAAACCUGUUAAAAGCAUCACUGGUCCAAAAACUGAAAUGGAGAAGAGACUUGGGAUCUCAGGAACUUCGGUGCCCCACGUGGUUCAGCCAAUCUCUCAUGUUAUUCAGCAAGCACGCACAGAGAGCAUCCUGGCCACCAAGUUGCCAGAGACAAGUGAGAAGAAUCUUUUGAAAAUAGCCUCUUCUUCAACCUCUGUAGAAACAUCAGUCUUUGAUACAAGGUGGUCAGAAAACUCAGAAAAGAGUACUUUUGCCUGGGCCUCAGCAGAGAGGUCCCUUCCAGCAUUGCAAGUUCCAUAACAAGUUCCAUGGUGACCACCAAACUGGCAGCUUGGUCCUCACUUGUAGGAUGGAGAAGGCAGGAGAACACUUCAGAAGAUGGGCCAGCCUCUGUGGACUCACCAGGCGUGAUGGCAGAGAGCCGGUCAAAGUCUUGGAGGUGGAAACGAACUGCCAACUGAUUAACCAUUUUCCUUAAGAUGAAGUGACAAGUGAGCCAGAUUUUGGAUGAUCCAAGGAAGUUAUGGGUGGCGGAGGAGAUCCAGGAGAGGUUAAUGGAAGAUGUGGGACUGAAUUGAGUCUUGCUAGUCAAAGAUAAUUUGGCUGAAGAAGAGGAUGGCAUUCUGGCAAGAAUAAAGAUGAGGAGAAGGAAUGCGCACCACAUAAUUUGGAACAGAGUCCAGACUGACCUGAAUGGAAAGCAAGCUGCAGAUAGGAAGACUGUGUGCACAUAGAUAAUUGGACAAGAUCCUCAUUUUGCAGAUGAUGCCGUGAGAGUAUGAAGGAGCGGUAUUAAAUCCAGCAGGAAACCUCAGUAAAGGUGGUUUUAGAACAUAGUCUGGAAGAAUAGGAGUUGGCCAGGCAAAGAAGAGAGUGAAGGGUAUAUAAAGACGUCUCAGAUAAAUGGAACAGCAUGAACAAAGGCAUGGAAGCGUGAAACAACAUGGAUUAUUCUGGAAAUCACAAACAUGUGAGUAUUACUGGUUAUAAAAUGGAAGGAGAUGAGAGAUGGGAGAUGAGGCUGGCUGGGGAGAAGCCCUGUCAUGUGGCACUAUUCAUCAUGCCACUGUCAGGAAGCCAACAAAGCAGGGUAACCCAAGAUACAUGAUUAGAUUUGAAUUAUACAAGGACCAUUCUAGUGUGUCUGGAGAAUGAGUUCGAGGAAUGUCAAACUGGAGAUGAGGAGACUGUUUUAAAACUUUUCCACUAGUCCUGGUGGGAGAUGUUGAGGUCCUGAGCUACAGCAGCAGAGAUACUGUAGAGGAGAAGUUGAUUCAAAUAAUA